rnacentral:rRNA from 1 species
GAUGAACGCUGGCGGCGUGCCUAAUACAUGCAAGUCGAGCGAACAGACGAGGAGCUUGCUCCUCUGACGUUAGCGGCGGACGGGUGAGUAACACGUGGAUAACCUACCUAUAAGACUGGGAUAACUUCGGGAAACCGGAGCUAAUACCGGAUAAUAUAUUGAACCGCAUGGUUCAAUAGUGAAAGACGGUUUUGCUGUCACUUAUAGAUGGAUCCGCGCCGCAUUAGCUAGUUGGUAAGGUAACGGCUUACCAAGGCAACGAUGCGUAGCCGACCUGAGAGGGUGAUCAGCCACACUGGAACUGAGACACGGUCCAGACUCCUACGGGAGGCAGCAGUAGGGAAUCUUCCGCAAUGGGCGAAAGCCUGACGGAGCAACGCCGCGUGAGUGAUGAAGGUCUUCGGAUCGUAAAACUCUGUUAGUAGGGAAGAACAAAUGUGUAAGUAACUAUGCACGUCUUGACGGUACCUAAUCAGAAAGCCACGGCUAACUACGUG